AAAUUGACGGGGCCCGCACAAGCAGCGGAGCAUGUGGUUUAAUUCGAAGCAACGCGAAGAACCUACUAGACUUGACAUCUCCUGAAUUACCCGUAACUGGGGAAGCUCUUCGGAGCAGGAAGACAGGUGGUGCAUGGUUGUCGUCAGCUCGUGUCGUGAGAUGUUGGGUUAAGUCCCGCAACGAGCGCAACCCUUAUCGUUAGUUGCUACCAUUAAGUUGAGCACUCUAGCGAGACUGCCCGGGUUAACCGGGAGGAAGGUGGGGAUGACGUCAAAUCAUCAUGCCCCUUAUGUCUAGGGCUACACACGUGCUACAAUGGUGAGGACAAAGAGACGCAAGACCGCGAGGUGGAGCAAAUCUCACAAACCUCAUCCCAGUUCGGAUUGCAGGCUGAAACUCGCCUGCAUGAAGCCGGAGUUGCUAGUAAUCGCGAAUCAGCAUGUCGCGGUGAAUACGUUCCCGGGCCUU
rnacentral:rRNA from 1 species